rnacentral:rRNA from 1 species
GAUGAACGCUGGCGGCGUGCCUCAAACAUGCAAGUCGAGCGGGGCUAUGUAAUAUCGCAAGGUAGAACAUAGCCUAGCGGCGAACGGGUGAGUAACACGUGGGUAACCUGCCUGGAAGACAGGGAUAACGAUUCGAAAGGGUCGCUAAUACCUGAUAAUAUCCUUUCAUCGCAUGGUGAUAGGAAGAAAGGGGAAACCCGCUUUCAGAUGGGCCCGCGUCCCAUCAGCUAGUUGGUAAGGUAAAGGCUUACCAAGGCGACGACGGGUAGCCGGUCUGAGAGGAUGUACGGCCACACUGGGACUGAGAUACGGCCCAGACUCCUACGGGAGGCAGCAGUUGGGAAUCUUAGGCAAUGGACGAAAGUCUGACCUAGCGACGCCGCGUGAGGGAAGAAGGCCUUCGGGUUGUAAACUCUGUCAUGGGGAAGAAGUAAGUGACGGUACCCAAGAGGAAGCCCCUGCUAACUACGUG